rnacentral:rRNA from 1 species
CUACGGGAGGCAGCAGUGGGGAAUCUUAGACAAUGGGCGCAAGCCUGAUCUAGCCAUGCCGCGUGAGUGAUGAAGGCCUUAGGGUCGUAAAGCUCUUUCGCCUGUGAUGAUAAUGACAGUAGCAGGUAAAGAAACCCCGGCUAACUCCGUGCCAGCAGCCGCGGUAAUACGGAGGGGGUUAGCGUUGUUCGGAAUUACUGGGCGUAAAGCGCACGUAGGCGGAUUGGAAAGUUGGGGGUGAAAUCCCGGGGCUCAACCCCGGAACUGCCUCCAAAACUAUCAGUCUAGAGUUCGAGAGAGGUGAGUGGAAUUCCAAGUGUAGAGGUGAAAUUCGUAGAUAUUUGGAGGAACACCAGUGGCGAAGGCGGCUCACUGGCUCGAUACUGACGCUGAGGUGCGAAAGUGUGGGGAGCAAACAGGAUUAGAUACCCUGGUAGUCCACACCGUAAACGAUGAAUGCCAGUCGUCGGGCAGUAUACUGUUCGGUGACACACCUAACGGAUUAAGCAUUCCGCCUGGGGAGUACGGUCGCAAGAUUAAAACUCAAAGGAAUUGACGGA